CGAACGCUGGCGGCGUGCCUAAUACAUGCAAGUAGAACGCUGAAGAGAGGAGCUUACUCUUCUUGGAUGAGUUGCGAACGGGUGAGUAACGCGUAGGUAACCUGCCUUGUAGCGGGGGAUAACUAUUGGAAACGAUAGCUAAUACCGCAUAACAAUGGAUGACACAUGUCAUUUAUUUGAAAGGGGCAAUUGCUCCACUACAAGAUGGACCUGCGUUGUAUUAGCUAGUAGGUGAGGUAAUGGCUCACCUAGGCGACGAUACAUAGCCGACCUGAGAGGGUGAUUGGCCAAACUUGGACUGGGACACGGCCCAGACUCCUACGGGAGGCAGCAGUAGGGAAUCUUCGGCAAUGGGGGCAACCCUGACCGAGCAACGCCGCGUGAGUGAAGAAGGUUUUCGGAUCGUAAAGCUCUGUUGUAAGUCAAGAACGGGUGUGAGAGUGGAAAGUUCACACUGUGACGGUAGCUUACCAGAAAGGGACGGCUAACUACGUG
rnacentral:rRNA from 1 species